rnacentral:rRNA from 1 species
UGGGGAAUAUUGCGCAAUGGGGGGAACCCUGACGCAGCCAUGCCGCGUGAAUGAAGAAGGCCUUCGGGUUGUAAAGUUCUUUCGGUAUUGAGGAAGGUUGAUGUGUUAAUAGCACAUCAAAUUGACGUUAAAUACAGAAGAAGCACCGGCUAACUCCGUGCCAGCAGCCGCGGUAAUACGGAGGGUGCGAGCGUUAAUCGGAAUAACUGGGCGUAAAGGGCACGCAGGCGGUUAUUUAAGUGAGGUGUGAAAGCCCCGGGCUUAACCUGGGAAUUGCAUUUCAGACUGGGUAACUAGAGUACUUUAGGGAGGGGUAGAAUUCCACGUGUAGCGGUGAAAUGCGUAGAGAUGUGGAGGAAUACCGAAGGCGAAGGCAGCCCCUUGGGAAUGUACUGACGCUCAUGUGCGAAAGCGUGGGGAGCAAACGGGAUUAGAUACCCUGGUAGUCCACGCUGUAAACGCUGUCGAUUUGGGGGUUGGGGUUUAACUCUGGCGCCCGUAGCUAACGUGAUAAAUCGACCGCCUGGGGAGUACGGCCGCAAGGUUA